rnacentral:rRNA from 1 species
CAGGCUUAACACAUGCAAGUCGAGGGGCAGCAUGGUCUUAGCUUGCUAAGACUGAUGGCGACCGGCGCACGGGUGAGUAACACGUAUCCAACCUGCCGUCUACUCUUGGACAGCCUUCUGAAAGGAAGAUUAAUACAAGAUGGCAUCAUGAGUCCGCAUGUUCACAUGAUUAAAGGUAUUCCGGUAGACGAUGGGGAUGCGUUCCAUUAGAUAGUAGGCGGGGUAACGGCCCACCUAGUCUUCGAUGGAUAGGGGUUCUGAGAGGAAGGUCCCCCACAUUGGAACUGAGACACGGUCCAAACUCCUACGGGAGGCAGCAGUGAGGAAUAUUGGUCAAUGGGCGAGAGCCUGAACCAGCCAAGUAGCGUGAAGGAUGACUGCCCUAUGGGUUGUAAACUUCUUUUAUAAAGGAAUAAAGUCGGGUAUGCAUACCCGUUUGCAUGUACUUUAUGAAUAAGGAUCGGCUAACUCCGUGCCAGCAGCCGCGGUAAUACGGAGGAUCCGAGCGUUAUCCGGAUUUAUUGGGUUUAAAGGGAGCGUAGAUGGAUGUUUAAGUCAGUUGUGAAAGUUUGCGGCUCAACCGUAAAAUUGCAGUUGAUACUGGAUAUCUUGAGUGCAGUUGAGGCAGGCGGAAUUCGUGGUGUAGCGGUGAAAUGCUUAGAUAUCACGAAGAACUCCGAUUGCGAAGGCAGCCUGCUAAGCUGCAACUGACAUUGAGGCUCGAAAGUGUGGGUAUCAAACAGGAUUAGAUACCCUGGUAGUCCACACGGUAAACGAUGAAUACUCGCUGUUUGCGAUAUACUGCAAGCGGCCAAGCGAAAGCGUUAAGUAUUCCACCUGGGGAGUACGCCGGCAACGGUGAAACUCAAAGGAAUUGACGGGGCCCGCACAAGCGGAGGAACAUGUGGUUUAAUUCGAUGAUACGCGAGGAACCUUACCCGGGCUUAAAUUGCAGAUGAAUUACGGUGAAAGCCGUAAGCCGCAAGGCAUCUGUGAAGGUGCUGCAUGGUUGUCGUCAGCUCGUGCCGUGAGGUGUCGGCUUAAGUGCCAUAACGAGCGCAACCCUUGUUGUCAGUUACUAACAGGUUCCGCUGAGGACUCUGACAAGACUGCCAUCGUAAGAUGUGAGGAAGGUGGGGAUGACGUCAAAUCAGCACGGCCCUUACGUCCGGGGCUACACACGUGUUACAAUGGGGGGUACAGAGGGCCGCUACCACGCGAGUGGAUGCCAAUCCCCAAAACCUCUCUCAGUUCGGACUGGAGUCUGCAACCCGACUCCACGAAGCUGGAUUCGCUAGUAAUCGCGCAUCAGCCACGGCGCGGUGAAUACGUUCCCGGGCCUUGUACACACCGCCCGUCAAGCCAUGGGAGCCGGGGGUACCUGAAGUGCGUAACCGCGAGGAGCGCCCUAGGGUAAAACUGGUGACUGGGGCUAAAU